AACCGACAUCAGCGAUUCGUUCUGCGAACCGUGGCCGACCGCCAGAUAAGCGUUCAUUCCCAGUUCGCGCAUCUGCUGUUCGCCGAUCACGCGGGUGAUAACCUUUUUGCUGUAGCUGUCGGCCAACUGGCGCGCCUGUGACGCCAGGUAGGCGGCGUUACAGAUAUUGGGCGGCAUGUUGCCGAGAUCUUUUGC
rnacentral:antisense_RNA from 26 species